rnacentral:rRNA from 1 species
AGUCGAGGGGCAGCAUGAUUGAAGCUUGCUUCAAUUGAUGGCGACCGGCGCACGGGUGAGUAACGCGUAUCCAACCUUCCGUACACUCAGGGAUAGCCUUUCGAAAGAAAGAUUAAUACCUGAUGGUAUGAUGAGAUUGCAUGAUAGCAUCAUUAAAGAUUUAUCGGUGUACGAUGGGGAUGCGUUCCAUUAGGUAGUAGGCGGGGUAACGGCCCACCUAGCCUACGAUGGAUAGGGGUUCUGAGAGGAAGGUCCCCCACAUUGGAACUGAGACACGGUCCAAACUCCUACGGGAGGCAGCAGUGAGGAAUAUUGGUCAAUGGACGAGAGUCUGAACCAGCCAAGUAGCGUGAAGGAUGAAGGUCCUACGGAUUGUAAACUUCUUUUAUAAGGGAAUAAAACCUCCCACGUGUGGGAGCUUGUAUGUACCUUAUGAAUAAGCAUCGGCUAACUCCGUGCCAGCAGCCGCGGUAAUACGGAGGAUGCGAGCGUUAUCCGGAUUUAUUGGGUUUAAAGGGAGCGCAGACGGGUCGUUAAGUCAGCUGUGAAAGUUUGGGGCUCAACCUUAAAAUUGCAGUUGAUACUGGCGUCCUUGAGUGCGGUUGAG